rnacentral:rRNA from 1 species
GUUGUAUGGUUAAGUGACUAAGCGUACACGGUGGAUGCCUUGGCAGUCAGAGGCGAUGAAAGACGUAGUAACUUGCGAUAAGCCCAGAUUAGGUAGUAACAACCAUUUGAGUCUGGGAUUUCUGAAUGGGGAAACCCACGUGCAUAAGCACGUAUCCUUACCUGAAUACAUAGGGUAAGGAGGCGAACCGGGGGAACUGAAACAUCUAAGUACCCCGAGGAAAAGAAAUCAACCGAGAUUCCGAAAGUAGCGGCGAGCGAAAUUGGACUAGCCCUUAAGCUUUACACGCGUUAGACGAACGGUCUGGAAAGUCCGACGAUACAGGGUGAUAGUCCCGUAGUUGACGACGUGUGUUCAGUGAAAUCGAGUAGGGCGGGACACGUGAUAUCCUGUCUGAAUAUGGGGGGACCAUCCUCCAAGGCUAAAUACUACUGACUGACCGAUAGUGAACCAGUACCGUGAGGGAAAGGCGAAAAGAACCCCUGUGAGGGGAGUGAAAUAGAACCUGAAACCGUGUACGUACAAGCAGUAGGAGCAGGCUUUGUCCUGUGACUGCGUACCUUUUGUAUAAUGGGUCAGCGACUUAUAUUCAGUGGCAAGGUUAACCAUCUAGGGGAGCCGUAGGGAAACCGAGUCUUAACUGGGCGUUCAGUCUCUGGAUAUAGACCCGAAACCAGGUGAUCUAGCCAUGGGCAGGUUGAAGGUUGAGUAACAUCAACUGGAGGACCGAACCGACUAAUGUUGAAAAAUUAGCGGAUGACUUGUGGCUAGGGGUGAAAGGCCAAUCAAACCUGGAGAUAGCUGGUUCUCCCCGAAAGCUAUUUAGGUAGCGCCUCGGACGAAUACUACUGGGGGUAGAGCACUGUUAAGGCUAGGGGGUCAUCCCGACUUACCAACCCUUUGCAAACUCCGAAUACCAGUAAGUACUAUCCGGGAGACACACGGCGGGUGCUAACGUCCGUCGUGGAGAGGGAAACAACCCAGACCGCCAGCUAAGGUCCCAAAUUACUACUAAGUGGGAAACGAUGUGGGAAGGCUCAGACAGCCAGGAUGUUGGCUUAGAAGCAGCCAUCAUUUAAAGAAAGCGUAAUAGCUCACUGGUCGAGUCGGCCUGCGCGGAAGAUGUAACGGGGCUAAGUAGUAAACCGAAGCUGCGGCAAUGUGCUUUUGCACAUUGGGUAGGGGAGCGUUCUGUAAGCGGUUGAAGGUGUGUGGUAACGCAUGCUGGACGUAUCAGAAGUGCGAAUGCUGACAUGAGUAACGAUAAAGGGGGUGAAAAACCUCCUCGCCGGAAGACCAAGGGUUCCUGUCCAACGUUAAUCGGGGCAGGGUAAGUCGACCCCUAAGGCGAGGCCGAAAGGCGUAGUCGAUGGGAAACGGGUUAAUAUUCCCGUACUUCUUACAAUUGCGAUGGGGGGACGGAGAAGGCUAGGUGGGCCUGGCGACGGUUGUCCAGGUUCAAGUGCGUAGGCUUAAGAGUUAGGUAAAUCCGGCUCUUUCUAAGGCUGAGACACGACGUCGAGCACCUACGGGUGUGAAGUCAUUGAUGCCAUGCUUCCAGGAAAAGCCUCUAAGCUUCAGAUUGUAAGGAAUCGUACCCCAAACCGACACAGGUGGUCGGGUAGAGAAUACCAAGGCGCUUGAGAGAACUCGGGUGAAGGAACUAGGCAAAAUGGUACCGUAACUUCGGGAGAAGGUACGCUCUCGACGGUGAAGUCCCUCGCGGAUGGAGCUAUUGAGAGUCGCAGAUACCAGGUGGCUGCAACUGUUUAUUAAAAACACAGCACUGUGCAAAAUCGUAAGAUGACGUAUACGGUGUGACGCCUGCCCGGUGCCGGAAGGUUAAUUGAUGGGGUUAGACUUCGGUCGAAGCUCUUGAUCGAAGCCCCGGUAAACGGCGGCCGUAACUAUAACGGUCCUAAGGUAGCGAAAUUCCUUGUCGGGUAAGUUCCGACCUGCACGAAUGGCGUAAUGAUGGCCACGCUGUCUCCACCCGAGACUCAGUGAAAUUGAAAUCGCUGUGAAGAUGCAGUGUACCCGCGGCUAGACGGAAAGACCCCGUGAACCUUUACUACAGCUUGGCACUGAACAUUGACCCUACAUGUGUAGGAUAGGUGGGAGGCUUUGAAGCACGUACGCCAGUAUGUGUGGAGCCGUCCUUGAAAUACCACCCUUGUAGUGUUGAUGUUCUAACGUCGACCCCUAAUCGGGGUUGCGGACAGUGCCUGGUGGGUAGUUUGACUGGGGCGGUCUCCUCCCAAAGAGUAACGGAGGAGCACGAAGGUGGGCUAAUCACGGUUGGACAUCGUGAGGUUAGUGCAAUGGCAUAAGCCCGCUUGACUGCGAGAAUGACAAUUCGAGCAGGUGCGAAAGCAGGUCAUAGUGAUCCGGUGGUUCUGAAUGGAAGGGCCAUCGCUCAACGGAUAAAAGGUACUCCGGGGAUAACAGGCUGAUACCGCCCAAGAGUUCAUAUCGACGGCGGUGUUUGGCACCUCGAUGUCGGCUCAUCACAUCCUGGGGCUGAAGUCGGUCCCAAGGGUAUGGCUGUUCGCCAUUUAAAGUGGUACGCGAGCUGGGUUUAGAACGUCGUGAGACAGUUCGGUCCCUAUCUGCCGUGGGCGUUGGAAGAUUGAAGGGGGCUGCUCCUAGUACGAGAGGACCGGAGUGGACGAACCUCUGGUGUUCGGGUUGUGUCGCCAGACGCAUUGCCCGGUAGCUAAGUUCGGAAUCGAUAACCGCUGAAAGCAUCUAAGCGGGAAGCGAGCCCUGAGAUGAGUCUUCCCUGAUACUUUAAGUAUCCUAAAGGGUUGUCGGAGACUACGACGUUGAUAGGUCAGGUGUGUAAGUGCUGUGAGGCAUUGAGCUAACUGAUACUAAUUGCCCGUGAGGCUUAACCAUACAACACCCAAGGGGUUU